AAAUGUCAGCCUGUAACGUACCUCGGAGAAGAACAAGAAUCUCCCCUCUUCACAAUGAAGACAUCCCAAAAGUCUGCCUACAUAUCGACUCACAGUACCUGAAGUCAAGAUUUUGCUGUGGUGUUUUCCAUUGAGAGGCUUCAUGGAGCACUGUCAGCCCCCUCAUCUCUUCUAAGAUCUGCCCCUCUUCUCAAGCUAAUUUUCUCUCAGUCUUUUUUCUCAUCAGAUUAUAGGA
rnacentral:lncRNA from 1 species